rnacentral:rRNA from 1 species
GAUGAACGCUAGCUACAGGCUUAACACAUGCAAGUCGCAGGACGGGCGCACGGGUGAGUAACGCGUAUCCAGCCUUCCCAUAACUACGGGAUAACCGGUUGAAAGACGGCCUAAUACCGUAUGGUUAUGGACGGGGUUGCGUCUGAUUAGCUUGUUGGCGGGGUAACGGCCCAACAAGGCGCCGAUCAGUAGGGGUUCUGAGAGGCAGGUCCCCCACAUUGGAACUAGGGCCCGGUCCAAACUGCUAGGGGAGAGAGGAGUAUGGAAUAUUAGGCAAGGGGCGAGGGCCUGACCCAGCCGAGUGGCGUGCAGGAUGCCGGCCUAUGGGUGGUAAACUGCUUUUAAGGGGGGAUAGGUACCACAUGAAUAAGGACCGGCUAAUUCCGUGCCAGCAGCCGCGGUAAUAC